GCCAGGAUUGGUGUCUCCAGCAAACAUCCUGUCCCACACAGCAGGCAGCGUGCAGUGCUUCGCAGGAAGAUGGCUUGGGCUUCGUUUGGGUUUGUUUAUGUACAAAGGGGGAAAUGUAUCUACUGUACUCUGCAGUGCCUAAUUUGUGUCCUCAGAGGAUAUCCUCGUGGAGGAUAAACCAGGCUUCUGGCUAAUCUUGGCAUAAGGUUUGAUAAUUGAAAUACAGAAGUUAUUGGACACUGUUCACAGACCAAUUGAUGGGACCAUGUUUACGAGCAACAAUGAAGAUACUAGCUAGCAUCUUUUCGGUAUUUUUAUUAACGUGGAAAUAGAUGUAAAAGCAUUUUCUGAUGCAACUUUGUGAGCAAAUCAGUGACUGUUGAAAACAAACCUGCAAAUUUGUUGAUACAGAGCAAUCUUAAUGACUGUGAGCACGUCUAUGAGUUAAAAUGCACGUUACUGCAAUUAACACUAGCUUUGCCUCUCCGAACAAGCAGUCCAGUCCGUAUCUGUGGAAAGGAAGUGACAGAGAAGGACUGAGGAGCCGUGUGGGUGUCCAGAUCUCUGCAAAGGCAAUGGUGUAGCAAAAGAAGAAAACAUUUGUGCUCGCCUGAGCAAGAGUGUUCCUGCCAAGAGGGGGUUCCAGCUGGAUCAGUUUUACAAGACAGGACUUGGACACCUCAGUGUCCUGUCAUGGGUCUGCCUGUCAUGAAGGCCUUGCUUGUCCUCUCCUGCCUCAACCCCUCAGUAUCAGUGGCUGUAUUCACUGCUUCCAAGUUUUCAGCUGUGGUUUGUUUUAAGGCAGGUAAACUGAGACAUUUGACUCAAAGAGGAAUUCCUUCAGAUAACAAAGAGAUUAGGGGACACCUGUAAACCGACUCUUUUAUUAGCUCAAGAGGAAGAAAAUACCUUUAGAACAUCGUGUAGUUCUUGCUGUUUGCUCUUUGAAUAGUGUGUCAUGUGAGAAUUGCAUCUGCCAAAUACCAAGCAGGCAUUAGAGUUUUUUGUGUCGUCAUUCUCCAUGGAAUAAAUGGAAGGGCUUUGAAUGGAGGCACACAAGGCAGCCUUCCUACAGCAGCCUGUCACUUUGCAAAGCAGCUGUGAAUUUAAUGGGAGUACAAAUGAAAAGCAGCUGAUAAUUAGGCUUCUGGGUGUUUUAGCAUUAUUAUUGUUAAUUUUUAAAUAUCAAUUAGGUAAUCGAGAGAGUGCUAUUGAGAAGCAUAUAUUUUUGGUUUUUAAUAUUCUAAGCAGGGUUCCAGCUGGGUGACAUGAUGAAUUACAGCUCCUGGUAGGAAUCUGAUAUCAGGAGGGACUCAAGAGUUCCACUGAGCAGAAAGGAAGAGGAUUGUGAUGGUCAGGAUGGUAUAGCGAAGCAUAUUCGUAUUAAAGGGGCUGCGAAACUUAGAUAAGCCUUUUUGUUGUUAACUUUACAUAGUGUUAGAAUAACAUCUCUGCCAGCUGGCAGGUUUAAAUGUCUAGAUACAGAUUUCUGCCAUCUACAUAUCAUAUAGUGAUUUAAGUUAUCUUAGAUUUAAGAAAAAAAAAACUCAGUUCUUUUUAAGAAGUCUUAUGCUAGCUUAGCAAAAAAAUAGAGUUUCAGAAAUGAGUAGUGACUUCAGACAAGUGCAAAGAGGAACCUGCAGAAGAACUUUGUGCUCAGAAGAACUUUUUGCACUGAGAAGACUUGGGGGUUCUGUUGUUGCUGUGCUUUUAAAACUGCUCUCUUUGAUCUCCA